rnacentral:rRNA from 1 species
GAUUAACGCUGGCGGCGUGCAUGAGACAUGCAAGUCGAACGGACGAUCGGGCUUGCUCGAUCGUUAGUGGCGGACGGCUGAGUAACGCGUGGGUGACCUGCCCCGAAGUGGGGAAUAACUGCCAGAAAGGGUGGCUAAUACCGCAUGUGGUGACUGGUUCGUUCCAGUCUCCAAAGCCGCAAGACGCUUCGGGAGGGGCCUGCGUCCGAUUAGCUCGUUGGUGGGGUAACGGCUCACCAAGGCGACGAUCGGUAGGUGGUCUGAGAGGACGAUCACCCAGACUGGGACUGAGACACGGCCCAGACGCCUACGGGAGGCAGCAGUCGGGAAUUUUGCUCAAUGGGCGAAAGCCUGAAGCAGCAACGCCGCGUGAGGGAUGACGGCCUUCGGGUUGUAAACCUCUUUUCUCAGGGACGAUAGUGACGGUACCUGAGGAAUAAGCCACGGCUAACUACGUGCCAGCAGCCGCGGUAACAC